AGUUUGGUGAGCCCAGUCAAUUAUUUCUUGAUACUAAAAAGAAAUUAGUUCUCCAUUAUGUAGAGGGCUUGAAAAGUUGUCAUUCAGAGCAGGGCAUCCGUAGCGAUGUCACACUUCUUCUACUUGACUCCACAAAUUGUUCUGCCCUUCAGCCCUCUCACCUCUCAAGAGUUCGAUCUGAUCAGACGCAAGGCUGGCAUAUCUUGGCAGAAUGAAGCAAGGUGGUCACAUUCCUCUGUGACGACAUACGCAGGCAGUUACCGGAAAAAACAACUGGAUGAGUCCACAUGCAGCCGAUUUUCUCUUAAAGCAGGACAGCAUUGGCCUGAGUGUAACCAGGUGUCAUCACCUAAUGGCUCUGCCUUCAGUCCCACACUCUGCACGGCUGGUUCCCCAGAGUCUACAGAUGCUAAGGGACUAUUACCUCAUAUGACCAGUUCUUUCAAAAAUUCACAUGAUGUCAAGCACAGUGUGGCACACCAAAUUCCGUGUGGUGAUUUUUCUCCAGCACCUCCAAAUUAUGAAAAAUCAGGUAUGAGAAUUAAAAAGCCAGCAUCUAAGAAUCUGAUGAGCUACAAGCGACUAAAGAAAGACUUUCUGAAGCAUCUUCAGGAACCGUGUAAUUCGGCCAGCAAGGUUGGCUCGUCUGAAGACUCAGAAAGUGAUCAGUACUCCGUUUAUAGCCUGGGAGGAUCGUUCUCGUCACUGAGCUGAGUCGGAAAACCCAGUCCCAGAGCUGGAGGCCUGCAGCUUCGUUUAGUUAAAGACUUUGAGAUCCAGCGAUCAAGAAAGAAUUUAUCAAUAGAUCUGCUACCUCAUAAAGAAGAGGUCUUGGUUGAUGACUUGAGUCCAUUCAGAGCUUGGACAGGGGAAGAUUGUGCACCUUAGUCCCCACAGUCACCGCACUUUAUUUACCCCAGGGACUGCUUUUUGGA